ACUUCCUUGGGCCGAAUUCACCAGAAGUAAUGCUACUCAUGACUCAUCUGGACAUUUUUUUGUUAACGGUUUUCAUCCUACCGUCUUCCCUGCGGUAUUCUAUGACACUGUAUUCCCACUCUCUGGAUAACCAUUUCACACGCCUACAUGAAACUUGGACUAAGGUCCACACAGCUUUGGAAACAGCUGCUGCUCGUUUCAAAAUGCAUGCUGAUAAGGGGCGUAGUGCCAGCCCUGGUUACCAGGUGGGUGACAGGGUAUAGCUCUCCACACGCAAUAUUAAACUCUAGGUUCCUAGCAUUGUUUGCACCCAGGUUUAUUGGGUCCUUUAGAAUAAUUUGCAGGAUAUAUUCUGUGUCUUAUUCUCUGGC